AUGGAUCUAUGAAAUAUUAUUAGCAUGAAAAUAUACAUGGCGUGUAUGGAACAAAAUGGACUCUAAUGCUUUUUCUUGUGAUGUAGGAUGCUUUUGGCGCUGAGAGGAGGAAAGCUAUAAGAUGCUAAAUCUCUCCAUUGCAUACGGAAAACGUAGGAAGGUACAAACUUGUCAAACAAACAUAGCUCUAAAUUAAGCAGCAAUCAACCUUAGUGUGCAUUACACUUAAAUAUGAGCUUUGGCCUUUGGAUUGGUCUGUGCUGGUUAGCUAGAAACCUGAAAACAACAAACUUGUUGAGUAGCGAUGUUUACAAGAAAUGUAGCCUUCAUGGGCUCUUGUAACCCUUUCUCUCUUGUCAGAUUUUUGUUAAGGAAGCAAAAGAUACAAAGAAGGUUCUAGCUUGGCAAGUGAAACAGAAACAACUAGCACAUGAGAAGUGUGAAUUUUAUACUUUGCUUUGGCGAUCACGCUAUUUUCUAAAUAUGGCUCAUGCGACUUCUGGCCAAAGAGGUCACAUUAAGCAUGCUGCUAUCAAUGCUCCUGUACAUGUGGUUACUGUCUAUUGCAACUUGUUGUUGGAAAAUUAGUUUUGUGCUGAAAUUAUUUUCUUUUAACACCACAGGGCACUGCAGCUGAUGUUGCUAUGUGUGCAAUGCUUGAG
rnacentral:lncRNA from 1 species